UCUCUGGCAGUCUAGUGGUUAGGACUCUGCACUUCCAUUGCAGGGGCUGCGGGUUCAAUCCCUGGUCAGGGAG
rfam:TPA: Bos taurus chromosome 12, whole genome shotgun sequence.